UAUUUGAAGUUUGGUAUAUUUAAUUUAUUCAUUGCAAUUUCAUAAUUUUUUAGUACAUAUAAAAACACAUUUUAUCAAGUUUGCAUAAAAAAACCCAACUAAUCUAAAAUACGAGUUAGCUUGUAGUUAAAUUGUUAGUGUCAAUUUGUUUAUAUAUUAUAAUUAAGGUUUUGUAAUGAUUCAAUAAAUAAUAAAGACAAAUACUUUAACUACUUAUAUUUAUUUCAGUAAACAAAAUAAACAAAUAAAUUAUUCAAAUUUAAAACUAGACACUUUCAUGUAUAUUAAAAGCACAUUUAUAUCAUAUCCUUGCACUCUCUUAUUUUAGAAUUAUAAUUAAUACCUUAUUACAUAAAAUCAUUGUAAAAUAUUUUUAUGCUCUCGUGUAUUUUCCCCAAAUAUGCAACAUAAAUACUGAGGCAAUGAAUAGCAGAGACAUAACCAAUACAGGAACUGGACCUCUGGAAAUAAAAUUGGUUUAUCUUAAAUAUAAGUAAGUAAAAUGACUAGUAUUAAAUAAAUAACUUUUAACAAAAUAGUUCUUGCUACUUACACUUUGACACCAGGAGAAUCAUCAGUGUAAAAACGCCACAUUCCCCCUGAUCCAGCGCCCGUAGUACGAUUUCUGGCCGCAGUAGUUGUUGUAGUGGUUUUACGCUGCCUUACAGUGCCACCACUGGAGGAGCGAGGAGCAGCACUCGCCUUGCUUGGCGAACGACCUCCUGAUCCCACCGACGUCGAACUUGGUGCGGCUGGCUAAAAUUUAAUAUCAUUUCAGUGUUAUAUCAGGCUAAAUAAUAAAAACUUUUAUAAAGAUUUUGGAUACAACUUGUAAAGCAAGUUGUUCUUAAUAGAAUAGAAGACAGUUCUUAUAGAAAUAAUAAACGCUACUACCAUCGAGUUGGCGAUCAACUCGGCAACGCGUAUUGUGAAGUUGACACGUCGACGACGUCGUGCAAUAAUGUUGCCAAAC
rnacentral:misc_RNA from 1 species